GACGAACCGUGCAAACGUUGUUCGGAAUCACUGGGCUUAAAGGGCGCGUAGGCGGGUAGCCAAGUCAGGGGUGAAAUCUUUCGGCUCAACCGGAAAAUUGCCUUUGAAACUGGCUGUCUCGAGGGAGGUAGGGGCAUGUGGAACUUCCGGUGGAGCGGUGAAAUGCGUUGAUAUCGGAAGGAACGCCGGUGGCGAAAGCGACGUGCUGGACCUCUUCUGACGCUGAGGCGCGAAAGCUAGGGGAGCGAACGGG
rnacentral:rRNA from 1 species